GACGCACGCUGGCGGCGUGCCUAAUACAUGCAAGUCGAACGCAGUGGGGACGGGUGAGUAACACGUGGGUAACCUCCCAUCAGAGGGGAUAACACUUGGAAACAGGUGCUAAACCGAUACUGAUGGAUGGACCCGCGGUGCAUUAGCUCGUUGGUGUGUUACCGGCUCACCAAGGCCACGAUGCAUAGCCGAACUGAUAGGGUGAUCGGCCGCACUGUGAGUGAGACAAGGCCCAGACUCCUACGAGAGGCAGCAGUAGUGAAGCAUCGGCAAUGGACGAAAGUCUGACCGAGCAACGCCGCGUGAGUGAAGAAGAUUUUGGGAUCGUAAAACUCUGUUGUUAGAGAAGGGGUAGCUAACCAGAAAGCCACGGCUAACUACGUGCGAGCAGCCGCGGUAAUAC
rnacentral:rRNA from 1 species